AGUGAACGCUGGCGGUAGGCCUAACACAUGCAAGUCGAACGGCAGCACAGUAAGAGCUUGCUCUUACGGGUGGCGAGUGGCGGACGGGUGAGGAAUACAUCGGAAUCUACUUUUUCGUGGGGGAUAACGUAGGGAAACUUACGCUAAUACCGCAUACGACCUACGGGUGAAAGCAGGGGAUCUUCGGACCUUGCGCGAUUGAAUGAGCCGAUGUCGGAUUAGCUAGUUGGCGGGGUAAAGGCCCACCAAGGCGACGAUCCGUAGCUGGUCUGAGAGGAUGAUCAGCCACACUGGAACUGAGACACGGGCCAGAAUCCUAAGGGAGGCAGCAGUGGGGAAUAUUGGACAAUGGGCGCAAGCCUGAUCCAGCCAUACCGCGUGGGUGAAGAAGGCCUUCGGGUUUUAAAGCCCUUUUGUUGGGAAAGAAAAGCAGCAGGUUAAUACCCCGCUGUUCUGACGGUACCCAAAGAAUAAGCACCGGCUAACUUCGUG
rnacentral:rRNA from 1 species